UACGUAGGGUGCAAGCGUUGUCCGGAAUUAUUGGGCGUAAAGAGCUCGUAGGCGGUCUGUCGCGUCUGCUGUGAAAACUCAGGGCUUAACCCUGAGCUUGCAGUGGGUACGGGCAGACUAGAGUGCGGUAGGGGAGACUGGAAUUCCUGGUGUAGCGGUGAAAUGCGCAGAUAUCAGGAGGAACACCGGUGGCGAAGGCGGGUCUCUGGGACGGUACUG
rnacentral:rRNA from 1 species